rnacentral:lncRNA from 1 species
UGACUAAAACUGUUAGGCAAGGAAUGUAGUGCAUAAUGCACUACCUGCUCAUCCCUAACCCCCAUCAAGAGCUCCCUGAGUCUGCCAUUUAUAUUGAUCAUCUUCAUAAUAUGCUCUCUAACUCCCCCUGAACCCAUGUACUUCAAAUCAUGAAACUCCUUGGUUAGCCUAGCAGCUUCUGCCUUUUCACUUUCUUUAAACUUAGCACCUAUGAGUUCCAGAAAAUCUGAUGCUAGCUCAGGUUCUUCUAUACUUCCCCUGACAGUCUUGGACAUAGAGGUACGAAUGAGAUUCUUAGCCAUUCUAUUGGAUCUAUGCCACUUCUUGUAAAGGCUUAUCCUCAGUAAAGCAAUAGUCUAUAUUCUCAUGCAUUCCCAUAUAGUUUUCUACAGAAUCUAGCCAAGCUCUAUAGUUGGUUCCAGUUAGC